GGGUCAACGAAGCGUUUGGAGGCGUUUUUUGGCCUUCGACGAGGCCUAGGUCCCUGUCGCUUCGGUUCCUUCCGGGAUUUUCGUUUUUACCGACGGUAGUAACGGUAACGGGCGCCCCUGCGCACCCUCAGUCCGCUUUUCGACAUUAUCCCGCGGGAUCACCUCCUGGCCGGAAGCCAGUUCCAAAUGCCCCGCAAUGGAUGAAGACAGCCAGGAUGAACUCAUAAACAAGAAUGCUGCAGUAGGCAAAGUUAAAAGAACAAAUGUGCUGCUUUUUAGCGAUGCAGAAAGCAGCGAUGGAAAUAGCGGAGACUCUGAUGACACAGGAAGUGAGGAUGAAGGUGAUACUGAUGAAGAUGGAGAUGAAGAGAAUGAAGAAAGUGAAGAUGAAGAUCUAGAAGGUGAUUAUAACAAGUCUUUCAGUAAUAUUAAUUAACAUUUUACAUUCAGUGUGAGCUAUUUUUAAAGCUACGUUAGGUGAGUUGCUGUUAAUUUGCCUAAUAUGCAUCAAACCAUUAUAUAAUUGAACCGUAGAGAAGCACAUUGCUCUUAUAACUGUUUUGAUUGUUU
rnacentral:lncRNA from 1 species